UAAUGUAUAUGUCGGGAUCGAGGGUAGAAUUGAAACACAGGCGUCCACCCUCGGCGCUCGACGGAGUCAAGGAUUCAUCGGCUGAGCGGCGUGUCGAUCACUUCUCGUGCAGCAGCCGACCAGUGCGGUCGAAUAUUGAACCGUCGUGUGUUUCAACCGUAUACCUAGUCUGUAACCUGUUAGUUUGAUAUUGUAACAGUUAAUUAUCUUUCAUGUACUUUGUAACCAUGUUUGCACUUUGAGAGUGACUGAGACCUCUGAGUUUGUUUCGGCAUUUCUUCUCAGAGUAGUCGGUAGGAAAUGCCGGCCCCAUCAGUAGCUUAAGUAAAGUAGUAGAUAGUUCCAUAUCGAAGACUUUAUUAUUUUACUGCUACCUUCGUCAUAACGCCCACAAGUAUUCCUGACAUGAGUAGUGAGAUUCUCCUUUCACCGACAUAUCGAAAGUGAGAGAUCUCCUAUCUCCGACAUCAGAAGUGAGAUGGACCCGGACGAUUGAAGAUGUUGAAAUCAUCGGAGCUGAUUCAUCGAGAACUACUUGCAUUCGACCCCAACAAAAAAAACUGCGAUGCAAGGCAAGCGCAGUACAUCGUCAUCCGGUACACGAGCAACGGCGGCGGUGGCAGCGGCAGCAGGCCAGGGACACGGCGACGGCAGCGGACCAGGAGACGCGGCGACUGUAGCGGACCAGGGAACGCGGCGACGGCAGCAGACCUGGGGACGCGGCGACAGCGGCAGCGAACCAGGGCGCGCGGUGGCAGCGGCAGCGGGCCAGGUGACGCAGCGUAAGCGCGGCGUAUGGUGAGAAGCGUAUUGAUGUCUGCAGUUGGACACUGCAUCAUCGGGAAUAUUCAGGUGACCUUGUUCCUUUUAUUAUGAUUCUGAUAUCAAAUACUUUAUAGGAUGAAAAUGAGUCAGCGUUUCCAGUUUAGGAUUGUUGAUUUUGCGAUCAGAAGUAUUAUUUUACUUUUGUCGGGUAGUCAUAAUAAAAACUAAGUCGUGAUGUUUUAGAUCCGAGAUUAUGAAAAGUCAUUAGAAUGACAUCUGAUUAUGUUGUUUCGGGUUGUGUAUUGUUAGGUUACGUGAUAUCUCAAAUAAUCUUUGAUUUUGUUUAGUUGGAAAUUCGAUUUCCGCGACGUGAGGUAGAUUUAAAUAUGCGCUUGCGGUGUACCGUCGUAGAGAACAUUGAGAAAGAUAGCCUUUAACAAAGCAGGGUCAACAGUUACUAAGUUGCUAUUCGUGAUUGAAGUUAGAUGCGAAACGUCUUCUGAAGUCCUGAGCAAACUCAUGAUCGGUUUACCGUGAUCUAAUUUUUGGGAUUGGUGUGUUAUAUUUAGUCUUAAUUGUAGGUAGUAAGUCUAGGGAACAAAGAUUCUGAUUUAUUUUACUGCACCGUGAAUGCAUUACAGUGACAGAGGCUCGAGUCUAUAACAUGAAACUACAGUCGUAGCUGACUUGGGAGUCCUUGCGAGUGACUAUCAUGUGGUAACCGCAAAACAUUCGAUGUUGAUUACUAAUCAUUUAAUUUGAUUUUGAUUGAGGGUACCUAGACGUAAGAUAUGUUUCCGAAGGUACAUUUUAGUACGCUGAUAGAUUGUUAGGUAGUUAUUCUAAAUGUAGUCGAUCAAGUUGAGUUUUGCCUAGUAAAGAAAACCGCGGAGUAACGAGACGCGACAUUUCAUUUUGAUAUUGCAUCUAAUUUGAAUAGUGUAGGUACAUUGAAAAUUAUUUUAAAAGGUGUUACCGACAUUUGUUACCUUUUUACCAUUAUGAAUAUUGUAGUUGUAGCUACCAGUCUACCCACGACUGGUUGUUUAAGCGGUAGUUCGGCAUUUUAUUUUGAUUGUGCAUCUGAAUUGAAUAGUUUUGAAUAGUUACAGUACAGUUCUGACGAAUAAGGACGAGGAGGAUAUCUGAUCACCAGGUUCCUUGAGAAUUUUGUGAAAUGUAAGAGGUAGAAUUUCCUAUACACAUCGUUACUACUUGUACUCAACACUCAUCAUUCACACUCAUGCCCUUAACACUCGACACUGUGGACCGCACCGCAUGGGUGACAUGUGGCGCUGGGUCUGGCACAAUGGACCGCGCUCAUGAGGAGCAUGAGGCGAUGGUCAGUGUACACACCAGACCGCACACAUGAGAACCGUGUGGUGAUGGGUCUGCACAAACUCGCAUUGAGACCGCACCCGUGAGGAACAUGGCUGUUGGGUCUUUACUCACAAGUACAUACUCACACUUACAUCAUGUACACACAUUCACGUACACGUAGGUACUUAGAAAAAUAUGCCGACAAUAAAGUCAAAUGACAUAGAUAAAGUAGGUCAAAUAGCAGAUACCUUAGAACAGUUGAGGGUAGUAGAACAUCUGUAUUUGAGUUUGCAAGGUGAUCGUAGUUUAAAAAGAUGUUUGUUAAUGAGGGUUUCAGUGGAAACCAUGGAGUCUAGGAGAGACUCGGUAUUCCCAUGUGGGGUUCACGUGAGACAGAAUAACUGUGUGGUACUGAACUGUGCGUAGCCGUGAUCACUUGUAAAGCUUGAAUGCUUUGAGUUACUUGGUAGAUUCAUUAUUUUGUGAGUAACUAUGUUUGUGAAAUGUCAGUUUUACUGGUUUUGAUACUGGAACGUUGUAGUUAAACAAUAAUUUUGAUAUUAUUGGUUUGUUUCGAUUCAUAGUAAAGAGUUAAGUCACAUUUUUUGAAGAAGUUUUAGAAGGUCACGCAUCAGCCGAGAUUGGUUUUGAUGAAGUUAAUGAAGCUCGGUAGAAACUCGGGUAAGGGGACUCUAGAAGCCAUUAUGUGUUUGUGCUGUCUCUAUUCGUUUGUUGUAUGUUUGUGUCCGAUCACCUCAGUAGCGGUCGCGUAUUCGCAACCCGGUCACAAACGGAAUCUCCGAGUGUCGCCUCGAGAGUCCGUUCGGUGCGCGGUACGAGUUUGGCUCUGACGGGGGUCGGCGGCUGUCUGUGUUCGGUAUGUUUGUGUUCGAUCACCUCAGUAGCGGUCACGUAUUCGCAACCCGGUCGCAAACGGAAUCUCCGAGUGUCGCCUCGAGAGUCCGUUCGGUGCGCGAUACGAGUUUGGCUCUGACGGGGGUCGGCGGUUGUAUGCGUUCGUUUUGUGUUGCCGGAGGGUGACACACGGGAGAUCCGAGGGAUCUGAUCCAUGUGAUGGAUGUCAGCAAUGUGAUUGCUGGUCGGCUUGAGAGCCGGGGCACUGGGUGACUUGCUCGUGGACUCGAGUAAGGGCAUGCUAGGGGCCAUGUGAUGGAAGUCAGCAAUGUGAUUGCUGGUCGGCUAGAGAGCCGGGGCGCACUGGAUGUCUUACUCGGGAGUUUCUAGAGUUGUACUGAGUAGUUUGUAAUUUUUGUUGAUAAGAACGGCUGUGAUGUGUGAACCUAACAGUAUGAUGCUUUUUUUAAUUGUGUGUGGAAUGUGUCGGAACGGUCAGGAAUGACCGAGCUAUAUGAUACUUUGCGUGUAAUUUUCUGUCACAGAUGAGGUGUCACACGAGGACGUGUGCAAGCAGGAUGGCCGUGUCGGGAUCGAGGGUAGAAUUGAAACACAGGCGUCCACCCUCGGCGCUCGACGGAGUCAAGGAUUCAUCGGCUGAGCGGCGUGUCGAUCACUUCUCGUGCAGCAGCCGACCAGUGCGGUCGAAUAUUGAACCGUCGUGUGUUUCAACCGUAUACCUAGUCUGUAACCUGUUAGUUUGAUAUUGUAACAGUUAAUUAUCUUUCAUGUACUUUGUAACCAUGUUUGCACUUUGAGAGUGACUGAGACCUCUGAGUUUGUUUCGGCAUUUCUUCUCAGAGUAGUCGGUAGGAAAUGCCGGCCCCAUCAGUAGCUUAAGUAAAGUAACAGUGCAAUGUACAGAAUUAAACAAUAGUUCCAUA